GAUGAAGAACGUAGCGAAAUGCGAUAAGUAAUGUGAAUUGCAGAAUUCAGUGAAUCAUCGAAUCUUUGAACGCACCUUGCACUCCUUGGUAUUCCGAGGAGUACGCCUGUUCGAGUGUUAUGAAGCUCUCAAAACGCAAUUGGCUUAAAACCUGAUUGUUGUUUUGGAUUUGAACUUUGCCGUGUUAUAACGGCUGGUUUUAAAAGUAUUAGCUGGUACUAGAACGAAUUGGUUCUACUCAACGUGAUAAUUAUCUGAUCGUUGAGGACAUUCCUUUCACGAGGAAUGGCCAUAGUAAAUUCAAUGGACUGCUUCUAAUCUGGAUUUAAUUCUUUAUUGGAUUAACCACUUUUCAAAUCUGACCUCGAAUCAGGUGGGACUACCCGCUGAACUUAAGCAUAUCAAUAAGCGGAGGA
rnacentral:misc_RNA from 1 species